UCCAAAAAGCGUUAAAGCUUCAUUAUUACGCAUAAAAAUUCCACCACCUCUUUUUAACCCCUAAACCGUACUGAAUGAUCCCAUAGCCCUAUGGGAGCCUAUAUGUUAGAACUAGUAACAAGAAGAUAGUUCUUCUCCAAAAUGUAAGCAUGGGCCAAAAUGAACCACUCAUUGGCACUUAAAGUUAAUAAACCCUUAGUAGUAACCCAGCAAGAAAAAUCUACUAAUUAUAACGUCAAUCUUACACAAGCACAUUUCUGGAAAGAUUAAAAAAAUGGGAAGGAACUCGGCAAACUAUUAACCCCGCCUGUUUACCAAAAACAUCGCCUCUUGUUACCCAUAAGAGGUCCAGCCUGCCCAGUGACAAAGUUAAACGGCCGCGGUACCCUAACCGUGCAAAGGUAGCGCAAUCACUUGUUCUUUAAAUGAGGACUAGUAUGAAUGGCAUCACGAGGGUUAUGCUGUCUCCCCAAUUUACUCAGUGAAACUGAUCUCCCCGUGAAGAAGCGGGGAUAAGAAUAUAAGACGAGAAGACCCCAUGGAGCUUUAAACUCAGUAUCAAUUGCACCACAAAAUAACCUAAUAUUUAUGCAACCCUGUCUACUAGUUUUCGGUUGGGGUGACCACGGAGUAUAAACAAACCUCCACGAUGAAAGGAACUAACAACCUAAACCAAGAGCUACAGCUCUAAAUAUCAACAAAUUGACUAAAUUGAUCCAAUCACUUGAUCAACGAACCAAGUUACCCUGGGGAUAACAGCGCAAUCCAUUUCAAGAGCUCAUAUCGACAAAUGGGUUUACGACCUCGAUGUUGGAUCAGGGUAUCCAAGUGGCGCAGCCGCUACUAACGGUUC
rnacentral:rRNA from 1 species